AGUAGGGGAGACUGGAAAUUCCUGGUGUAGCGGUGGAAUGCGCAGAUAUCAGGAGGAACACCGAUGGCGAAGGCAGGUCUCUGGGCUGUAACUGACGCUGAGGAGCGAAAGCAUGGGGAGCGAACAGGAUUAGAUACCCUGGUAGUCCAUGCCGUAAACGUUGGGCACUAGGUGUGGGGACCAUUCCACGGUUUCCGCGCCGCAGCUAACGCAUUAAGUGCCCCGCCUGGGGAGUACGGCCGCAAGGCUAAAACUCAAAGGAAUUGACGGGGGCCCGCACAAGCGGCGGAGCAUGCGGAUUAAUUCGAUGCAACGCGAAGAACCUUACCAAGGCUUGACAUGUUCUCGAUCGCCGUAGAGAUACGGUUUCCCCUUUGGGGCGGGUUCACAGGUGGUGCAUGGUGUCGUCAGCUCGUGUCGUGAGAUGUUGGGUUAAGUCCCGCAACGAGCGCAACCCUCGUUCCAUGUUGCCAGCACGUCGUGGUGGGGACUCAUGGGAGACUGCCGGGGUCAACUCGGAGGAAGGUGAGGACGACGUCAAAUCAUCAUGCCCCUUAUGUCUUGGGCUUCACGCAUGCUACAAUGGCCGGUACAAUGGGUUGCGAUACUGUGAGGUGGAGCUAAUCCCAAAAAGCCGGUCUCAGUUCGGAUUGGGGUCUGCAACUCGACCCCAUGAAGUCGGAGUCGCUAGUAAUCGCAGAUCAGCAACGCUGCGGUGAAUACGUUCCCGGGCCUUGUACACACCGCCCGUCAAGUCAGGAACAGUUGGUAACUACUAGGUAUGUCUCUC
rnacentral:rRNA from 1 species